CUGCCAUAUCACGUUGAAACAUCGGUUCCUGUACUAUCACCAGAAUUAAGCAAUGUCGAGCCUGGUCAGUACCUUGAUGCGUGACCACUUGGGAAUACCAGGUGUU